rnacentral:rRNA from 1 species
GACGAACGCUGGCGGCGUGCUUAACACAUGCAAGUCGAACGGAAAGGCCCUGAUAUUGUGGGGUGCUGGAGUGGCGAAAGGGUGCGUAACAGGUGAGUAACCUGCCCUUGAUUUUGGGGUAACUUCAGGAAACUGGGGUUAAUCCCGGAUAGGAGCUCCUGUUGCAUGGUGGGGGUUGGAACGUUUCGGCGGUUGGGGAUGGAUUCGCGGCUUUUCGGUUUGUUGGUGGGGUAGUGGAUUACCAAGGCAUUGACGGGUAGCCGGCCUGUGAGGGGGAACGGCCACAUGGGGACUGAGAGACGGCGCAGACUCCAACGGUAGGCAGCAGUGGGGAAUAUUGCACAAUGGGCGCAAGCCUGAGACAGCAACGCCGCGUGCGUGAUGACGUCCUUCGGGUUGUAAACCGCUUCCGCCUGUGACGAAGCGGGAGUGACGGUAAUGGGUAAAGAAGCACCGGCUAACUACGUG